UACAGAGGGUGCGAGCGUUGUCCGGAAUCACUGGGCGUAAAGGGCGCGUAGGCGGCUUGAUAAGCGUGCGGUGAAAGCCCGGGGCUCAACCCCGGGUCGGCCGUGCGAACUGUCGAGCUGGAGCACUGUAGAGGCAGGUGGAAUUCCGGGUGUAGUGGUGAAAUGCGUAGAGAUCCGGAGGAACACCAGUGGCGAAGGCGGCUCGCUGGGCUUUACCUGACGCUGAGGCGCGAAAGCGUGGGGAGCGAACCGG
rnacentral:rRNA from 1 species